GUGUUUUUGUCCUUUUUUGAUACAGUUAAUGUCCAGGGGUCGGUAUUACGAAGCAUUCCUAAGACCUGUCAUAAGAUAUAUCUUAGGACUUGUGUUAUGAUCCUCUUAUGACUAUCUAUGGACAUAUCUUUAUUUGAUGAAUUAUUAUUGUGAGUGUCCACUUUGAAGGCAAUAGUAAAAUACUUUCAUUCUAGUUGACACUAAAAGACAUAAGAGGAUAGCCAGGAUA
rnacentral:lncRNA from 1 species